rnacentral:rRNA from 1 species
GACGAACGCUGGCGGCGUGCUUAACACAUGCAAGUCGAGCGGUAAGGCCCUUUCGGGGGUACACGAGCGGCGAACGGGUGAGUAACACGUGGGUGACCUGCCCUCAGCUCUGGGAUAAGCCUGGGAAACCGGGUCUAAUACCGGAUAUGACUCCAUGACGCAUGUUGUGGGGUGGAAAGCCUUGUGCGGCUGAGGAUGGGCCCGCGGCCUAUCAGCUUGUUGGUGGGGUGAUGGCCUACCAAGGCGACGACGGGUAGCCGGCCUGAGAGGGCGACCGGCCACACUGGGACUGAGACACGGCCCAGACUCCUACGGGAGGCAGCAGUGGGGAAUCUUGCGCAGUGGGCGAAAGCCUGACGCAGCGACGCCGCGUGAGGGAUGACGGCCU